CAAUAGCGUAUAUUUAAGUUGCUGCAGUUAAAAAGCUCGUAGUUGGAUUUCGGGUGGGAAUGGCCGGUCCGCCGUUUCGGUGUGCACUUGCUACGCCCACCUUGCUGCCGGGGACGUGCUCUUGAGUUCACGCUCGGGACACGGAGUCGGCGAGGUUACUUUGAGUAAAUUAGAGUGUUCAAAGCAGGCCUACGCUCUGAAUACAUUAGCAUGGAAUAACACGAUAGGACUCUGGCCUAUCUUGUUGGUCUGUAGGACCGGAGUAAUGAUUAAGAGGGACAGUCGGGGGCAUUCGUAUUUCAUUGUCAGAGGUGAAAUUCUUGGAUUUAUGGAAGACGAACUACUGCGAAAGCAUUUACCAAGGAUGUUUUCAUUAA
rnacentral:rRNA from 1 species